UACGAAGGGUGCAAACGUUGCUCGGAAUCAUUGGGCGUAAAGCGCACGUAGGCGGCUCCAAAAGUCGGAUGUGAAAUCCCUGGGCUCAACCGAGGAAGUGCAUCCGAAACUGCGGAGCUUGAGUAUGGAAGAGGGUCGCGGAAUUCCCGGUGUAGAGGUGAAAUUCGUAGAUAUCGGGAGGAACACCAGUGGCGAAGGCAGCUCGCUGGGACGGUACUGACGCUAAGGCGCGAAAGCGUGGGGAGCAAACAGG
rnacentral:rRNA from 1 species